rnacentral:lncRNA from 1 species
UCUACUUUUUCAGAUGAACCGAAAGGAUGAAACAACCUGAAAGGGACCAAAGAGAGAAAUUAAACAAAAACCACAAAUAGGAACCAUAUUCAUGACUAGAAACUUCAGUAACUAGACUUGGCAACUACAGUACUUCAUAUAUGAUUCACUUCGCUUGCUUCCUAGUUAAUAAUGCUGGCUCACUUAAAUAUUUGUCCUUGAUGACCUGAUCUUUUUGUUUUAGUAGUAGGCUUAUUAGCCACACAUGAUGAACAACCACUACAAACAUAUAGCUGCUCUCUAUGGGGCCGUUUUUAAGGAUCCAGAUUCUAGAUUUCUAAAUAUAAAAAAUACUAGAUAGACCAUAAAAAAU